rnacentral:rRNA from 1 species
AGCAGCCGCGGUAAUUCCAGCUCCAAUAGCGUAUAUUAAAGUUGUUGCAGUUAAAAAGCUCGUAGUUGAAUUUCGGGAUCAAUUUGUUGGUCGUGCCUCGGUACGUACUGGCAUUAUUGGUUUCUACCUUCUGAAGAACCUUGAUGUCAUUAAUUUGGUGUCUUGGGGAAUCAGGACUGUUACUUUGAAAAAUUAGAGUGUUUAAAGCAGGCAUACGCUUGAAUACAUUAGCAUGGAAUAAUGAAAUAGGACGUUUGAUUCUAUUUUGUUGGUUUCUAGGAUCGACGUAAUGAUUAAUAGGGAUAGUUGGGGCAUUAGUAUUCAAUUGUCAGAGGUGAAAUUCUUGGAUUUAUUGAAGACUAACUACUGCGAAAGCAUUUGCCAAGGAUGUUUUCAUUAAUCAAGAACGAAAGUUAGGGGAUCGAAGACGAUCAGAUACCGUCGUAGUCUUAACCAUAAACUAUGCCGACUAGGGAUCGGAUGAUGUUAUUUUAAUG